rnacentral:rRNA from 1 species
UACGGAGGAUGCAAGCGUUAUCCGGAAUGAUUGGGCGUAAAGCGUCCGCAGGUGGCUAUGUAAGUCUGCUGUUAAAGAGUGAGGCUCAACCUCAUAAGAGCAGUGGAAACUACAUAGCUAGAGUGCGUUCGGGGCAGAGGGAAUUCCUGGUGUAGCGGUGAAACGCGUAGAUAUCAGGAAGAACACCGGUGGCGAAAGCGCUCUGCUAGGCCGCAACUGACACUGAGGGACGAAAGCUAGGGGAGCGAAUGGG